UUUCCGUAGGUGAACCUGCGGAAGGAUCAUUAAUGAGUUGUCAUGGGGUUCGAUGCUGGCAGCCAGUUUUUGGAUGCAUGUGCUUGCCCUAACAAUCAUCUUCUUCCAAACACCUGUGCACAUUUUUGAGGGAGUCUUGAGUUGGUUGCCGCUCUUGGGUGAUUUUCUCAUAUUCCCUUAAAUCAUUAUACGCUAUUAACAAUGUUGAACGUGCUCUGUGCCGCAAGGCUAUUAAUAUAAUACAACUUUUAACAACGGAUCUCUUGGCUCUC
rnacentral:misc_RNA from 1 species